UACGUAGGCAGCGAGCGUUGUUCGGAGUUACUGGGCGUAAAGAGUGCGUAGGCGGUUUUCUAAGUUUGGUGUGAAAUCUCCCGGCUUAACUGGGAGGGUGCGCCGAAGACUGGAAGGCUUGAGUAUGGGAGAGGUAAGCGGAAUUCCUGGUGUAGCGGUGAAAUGCGCAGAUAUCGGGAGGAACACCAGUGGCGAAGGCGGUGCUCUGGGCUGGAACUGACGCUGAUGGACGAAAGCGUGGGUAGCAAACAGG
rnacentral:rRNA from 1 species